rnacentral:rRNA from 1 species
AUUGAACGCUGGCGGCAGGCCUAACACAUGCAAGUCGAGCGAGCGGCGGACGGGUGAGUAAUGUCUGGGAAACUGCCUGAUGGAGGGGGCUAACUACUGGAAACGGUAGCUAAUACCGCAUACCAUCAGAUGUGCCCAGAUGGGAUUAGCUAGUAGGUGGGGUAACGGCUCACCUAGGCGACGAUCCCUAGCUGGUCUGAGAGGAUGACCGCCAGCAUUGGAACUGAGACACGGUCCAUAGUCCUACGGGAGGCAGCAGUGGGGAAUAUUGGACAAUGGGCGCAAGCCUGAUGCAGCCAGGCCGCGUGUAUGAAGAAGGCCUUCGGGUUGUAAAGUACUUUCAGCGGGGAGGCGUUACCCGCAGAAGAAGCACCGGCUAACUCCGUGCCAGCAGCCGCGGUAAUAC